UUAAGUUGGGCACUCUAAGUUGACUGCCGGUGACAAACCGGAGGAAGGUGGGGAUGACGUCAAAUCAUCAUGCCCCUUAUGAUUUGGGCUACACACGUGCUACAAUGGACAAUACAAAGGGCAGCGAAACCGCGAGGUCAAGCAAAUCCCAUAAAGUUGUUCUCAGUUCGGAUUGUAGUCUGCAACUCGACUAUAUGAAGCUGGAAUCGCUAGUAAUCGUAGAUC
rnacentral:rRNA from 1 species